CACACUGACAGCAGCUGCAACAGAGCACUGAGCAGCAGUCCGAGAGACAGAAGGGUACAGAAAGCUCAGAAGCAAAGCACCAACCAUGCUCAAAAAUUUGCUUCUUCACCUAUCAAGCAAAAGGGACGACUCUCAGCAGAUAUAACCAAUGAAUCCCAACCUGAUAGGCAGCAUAUACAUGGCUCAUCACAACAGAGGAAAGUUGCACAGCCUGAGCACAUGGAGGAAUCACAACUGAUGGCCGCAAUAACCCACUGGGGCUGCAGGACCUACACAACUACAAAGUUGCAAAGACAGGAAGAGAAAGGAAUAAAUACUUCUGCUACACUCAAAA